GCGUCUGCAGUGUGUGGGGUUCGCGGGGCGGCGGGCAGAGGCAAGUGUUUAGAGACUUAGGGUCCGUGACUUGCCUCCAGCAGUGGAGACAGACGUUAUCGGUCUGGUCUCCCUGGGCUUCUGGAAAUGUUUCAGGGGCAGGGAGAGCGCGCUGAGUUUUUUUUUCUGUUGUUCGCUAGCGCGUGGGUUGAGCAUUUUGUCAUCUGCAAAUAAUUUUAGCCAGGUGGCAAGUGUAUGGACUGUGGAGUAAGAAGUACGUGCCUCUGCCUCUGACUUGGGUUCUAGCCUAUAGGAACAAGACAUUUUCAGUAAUGGAAGAAAGAGCUUCCAGGCUGGGGAAGAUCAUCGUUUCCAGUGGUAGCUUGACCUGAGAUGAUACCUGACCACAACUUCUGGGAAGGCCCAGAAUAGACAGAAGAGAGAGAACAUCCUAGAGUUGCUAGCCCUAAUUGUUGAAGGAAAUGGCCAAGGCCCAG
rnacentral:sRNA from 1 species